GCUAGCAGCCAUAUCACCCUGUGACUCACAAAUGGCAACCUGCUGCUGCUAAGCAGGUGUGAGCCUGGUCAGUACCUGCAUGGGAGACCUCCUGGGAAAAACUAAGAUUGCUGCUGGAU
rnacentral:rRNA from 1 species